AGCGAACGCUGGCGGCAGGCCUAACACAUGCAAGUCGAACGAACCUUUCGGGGUUAGUGGCGGACGGGUGAGUAACACGUGGGAACGUGCCUUUAGGUUCGGAAUAACUCAGGGAAACUUGUGCUAAUACCGAAUGUGCCCUUCGGGGGAAAGAUUUAUCGCCUUUAGAGCGGCCCGCGUCUGAUUAGCUAGUUGGUUGAGGUUAUGGCUCACCAAGGCGACGAUCAGUAGCUGGUCUGAGAGGAUGAUCAGCCACAUUGGGACUGAGACACGGCCCAAACUCCUACGGGAGGCAGCAGUGGGGAAUCUUGCGCAAUGGGCGAGAGCCUGACGCAGCCAUGCCGCGUGAAUGAUGAAGGUCUUAGGAUUGUAAAAUUCUUUCACCGGGGACGAUAAGGACGGUACCCGGAUAAGAAGCCCCGGCUAACUUCGUG
rnacentral:rRNA from 1 species